rnacentral:rRNA from 1 species
GACAGAGGGUGCAAACGUUGUUCGGAAUUACUGGGCGUAAAGCGUGUGUAGGCGGCCUCGCAAGUCGGGUGUGAAAGCCCCAGGCUCAACCUAGGAAGUGCAUUCGAAACUGCUGAGCUUGAGUUCUGGAGAGGAAGGCGGAAUUCGUCGGUGUAGAGGUGAAAUUCGUAGAUAUCGAGAGGAACACCGGUGGCGAAGGCGGCCUUAGCUGGGACAGCCAACUGACGCUGAGACGCGAAAGCGUGGGGAGCAAACAGG